AGUGAACGCUGGCGGUAGGUCUAACACAUGCAAGUCGAACGGCAGCACAGUAAGAGCUUGCUCUUACGGGUGGCGAGUGGCGGACGGGUGAGGAAUACAUUGGAAUCUACUUUUUCGUGGGGGAUAACGUAGGGAAACUUACGCUAAUACCGCAUACGACCUACGGGUGAAAGCAGGGGAUCUUCGGACCUUGCGCGAUUGAAUGAGCCGAUGUCGGAUUAGCUAGUUGGCGGGGUAAAGGCCCACCAAGGCGACGAUCCGUAGCUGGUCUGAGAGGAUGAUCAGCCACACUGGAACUGAGACACGGUCCAGACUCCUACGGGAGGCAGCAGUGGGGAAUAUUGGACAAUGGGCGCAAGCCUGAUCCAGCCAUACCGCGUGGGUGAAGAAGGCCUUCGGGUUGUAAAGCCCUUUUGUUGGGAAAGAAAAGCAGCAGGUUAAUACCCCGCUGUUCUGACGGUACCCAAAGAAUAAGCACCGGCUAACUUCGUG
rnacentral:rRNA from 1 species